rnacentral:rRNA from 1 species
GCGUGCGGGUGCUAUACUGCAGUCGAGCGGACAGAAGGGAGCUUGCUCCCGGAUGUUAGCGGCGGACGGGUGAGUAACACGUGGGUAACCUGCCUGUAAGACUGGGAUAACUCCGGGAAACCGGAGCUAAUACCGGAUAGUUCCUUGAACCGCAUGGUUCAAGGAUGAAAGACGGUUUCGGCUGUCACUUACAGAUGGACCCGCGGCGCAUUAGCUAGUUGGUGGGGUAAUGGCUCACCAAGGCGACGAUGCGUAGCCGACCUGAGAGGGUGAUCGGCCACACUGGGACUGAGACACGGCCCAGACUCCUACGGGAGGCAGCAGUAGGGAAUCUUCCGCAAUGGACGAAAGUCUGACGGAGCAACGCCGCGUGAGUGAUGAAGGUUUUCGGAUCGUAAAGCUCUGUUGUUAGGGAAGAACAAGUGCGAGAGUAACUGCUCGCACCUUGACGGUACCUAACCAGAAAGCCACGGCUAACUACGUGCCAGCAGCCGCGGUAAUACGUAGGUGGCAAGCGUUGUCCGGAAUUAUUGGGCGUAAAGGGCUCGCAGGCGGUUUCUUAAGUCUGAUGUGAAAGCCCCCGGCUCAACCGGGGAGGGUCAUUGGAAACUGGGAAACUUGAGUGCAGAAGAGGAGAGUGGAAUUCCACGUGUAGCGGUGAAAUGCGUAGAGAUGUGGAGGAACACCAGUGGCGAAGGCGACUCUCUGGUCUGUAACUGACGCUGAGGAGCGAAAGCGUGGGGAGCGAACAGGAUUAGAUACCCUGGUAGUCCACGCCGUAAACGAUGAGUGCUAAGUGU